UCUUCUUCUUCUCCGUUCUUUCUCUCUUCCUCUCUGUUUAAUCCCAUCUCAGAGAUUUGAGAUUCUUUUGUUAGAGAAAUUCUCGUGAACCUGGUUAGCUUGAUGAUAUGAAGAAGUAGGUGUUGGUUUUAUGAUUGUUUGAGCACAGGAAGAAGAAGUUUGAGUUGCUGCUGUAAAUCGAGAAUUAGGUUUUGUUUGGAGAUGAGGAAAUCAAGAGAAGAUGAAGAAUCAGUUGAUAACCCUGGGUUGAUGAUGGUGUUGUUAAAUCAAGUAUUGAUUCAACCUCAGAGGAUGAAGAAAAAGUUAGUCGUUAUUAACAACAAUCGAUUCAAAGGAUGAUCCAGUGGAUUGAACAUCUCGAGGUACGCGAGGCUUGUCAUCAAAAGAGUUUCAGAGACAGAUGCAAGAUGCGCACGUGGCGAUAAAAGCUUCGAGGAGUUGGUUGCGUUAGUUGGUUAGCUUCCGCUAUGUUUAUUUUGUGUUUAUAUUUUAUUUGUAAAUCAACUCAUUGUUGUAUAUGUAAUAUCUGAGAGGAGUUCUUGUAUUUAUUUCAGAGGGGGCUUAGAUUCGGGUUAAUCUUUGUUUAGAACUUCUUUCUUAAUGUUUGAAUAGACGUUUUAGAUC